rnacentral:rRNA from 1 species
GACGAACGCUGGCGGCGUGCUUAAUACAUGCAAGUCGAACGAUGAAAGCUGGAGCUUGCUCCGGCUGGAUUAGUGGCGAACGGGUGAGUAACACGUGAGUAACCUGCCCCUCACUCUGGGAUAACCUCGGGAAACCGAAGCUAAUACCGGAUACGACCCUCGGAGGCAUCUCCAAGGGGUGGAAAGAAUUUCGGUGAGGGAUGGACUCGCGGCCUAUCAGGUAGUUGGUGAGGUAACGGCUCACCAAGCCGACGACGGGUAGCCGGCCUGAGAGGGUGACCGGCCACACUGGGACUGAGACACGGCCCAGACUCCUACGGGAGGCAGCAGUAGGGAAUAUUGCACAAUGGGCGCAAGCCUGAUGCAGCAACGCCGCGUGAGGGACGACGGCCUGG